rnacentral:rRNA from 2 species
UGCAGUCGAGCGGACCGACGGGAGCUUGCUCCCUUAGGUCAGCGGCGGACGGGUGAGUAACACGUGGGUAACCUGCCUGUAAGACUGGGAUAACUCCGGGAAACCGGGGCUAAUACCGGAUGCUUGAUUGAACCGCAUGGUUCAAUCAUAAAAGGUGGCUUUUAGCUACCACUUGCAGAUGGACCCGCGGCGCAUUAGCUAGUUGGUGAGGUAACGGCUCACCAAGGCGACGAUGCGUAGCCGACCUGAGAGGGUGAUCGGCCACACUGGGACUGAGACACGGCCCAGACUCCUACGGGAGGCAGCAGUAGGGAAUCUUCCGCAAUGGACGAAAGUCUGACGGAGCAACGCCGCGUGAGUGAUGAAGGUUUUCGGAUCGUAAAACUCUGUUGUUAGGGAAGAACAAGUACCGUUCGAAUAGGGCGGGACCUUGACGGUACCUAACCAGAAAGCCACGGCUAACUACGUGCCAGCAGCCGCGGUAAUACGUAGGUGGCAAGCGUUGUCCGGAUUAUUGGGCGUAAGCGCGCGCAGGCGGUUUCUUAAGUCUGAUGUGAAAGCCCCCGGCUCAACCGGGGAGGGUCAUUGGAAACUGGGGAACUUGAGUGCAGAAGAGGAGAGUGGAAUUCCACGUGUAGCGGUGAAAUGCGUAGAGAUGUGGAGGAACACCAGUGGCGAAGGCGACUCUCUGGUCUGUAACUGACGCUGAGGCGCGAAAGCGUGGGGAGCGAACAGGAUUAGAUACCCUGGUAGUCCACGCCGUAAACGAUGAGUGCUAAGUGUUAGAGGGUUUCCGCCCUUUAGUGCUGCAGCAAACGCAUUAAGCACUCCGCCUGGGGAGUACGGUCGCAAGACUGAAACUCAAAGGAAUUGACGGGGGCCCGCACAAGCGGUGGAGCAUGUGGUUUAAUUCGAAGCAACGCGAAGAACCUUACCAGGUCUUGACAUCCUCUGACAACCCUAGAGAUAGGGCUUCCCCUUCGGGGGCAGAGUGACAGGUGGUGCAUGGUUGUCGUCAGCUCGUGUCGUGAGAUGUUGGGUUAAGUCCCGCAACGAGCGCAACCCUUGAUCUUAGUUGCCAGCAUUCAGUUGGGCACUCUAAGGUGACUGCCGGUGACAAACCGGAGGAAGGUGGGGAUGACGUCAAAUCAUCAUGCCCCUUAUGACCUGGGCUACACACGUGCUACAAUGGGCAGAACAAAGGGCAGCGAAGCCGCGAGGCUAAGCCAAUCCCACAAAUCUGUUCUCAGUUCGGAUCGCAGUCUGCAACUCGACUGCGUGAAGCUGGAAUCGCUAGUAAUCGCGGAUCAGCAGCUCGCCGAU